rnacentral:rRNA from 1 species
GGACGGGUGAGUAACGCGUGGGUAACCUACCCCAAAGUCCGGGAUAACAGCGGGAAACCGCUGCUAAUACCGGAUGCCUUUACCUUGGGGCAUCUUGAGGUAAAGAAAGGCAACGCUUUGGGAUGGGCCCGCGUUCCAUUAGCUAGUUGGUGAGGUAACGGCUCACCAAGGCGACGAUGGGUAGCCGGCCUGAGAGGGUGGACGGCCACACUGGGACUGAGACACGGCCCAGACUCCUACGGGAGGCAGCAGUAGGGAAUAUUGCGCAAUGGACGGAAGUCUGACGCAGCGACGCCGCGUGAGCGAUGAAGGUCUUCGGAUCGUAAAGCUCUGUCCUUGGGGAAGAAGGCGAAAGCUUGACGGUACCCAAGAAGAAAGCCCCGGCUAACUACGUGCCAGCAGCCGCGGUAAUACGUAGGGGGCGAGCGUUGUCCGGAAUUACUGGGCGUAAAG